rnacentral:rRNA from 1 species
GACGAACGCUGGCGGCGUGCCUAAUACAUGCAAGUAGAACGCUGAAGGAGGAGCUUGCUUCUCCGGAUGAGUUGCGAACGGGUGAGUAACGCGUAGGUAACCUGCCUGGUAGCGGGGGAUAACUAUUGGAAACGAUAGCUAAUACCGCAUAACAGUAGAUGUUGCAUGACAUUUGUUUAAAAGGUGCAAUUGCAUCACUACCAGAUGGAACUGCGUUGUAUUAGGUAGUUGGUGAGGUAAAGGCUCACCAAGGCGACGAGACAUAGCCGACCUGAGAGGGGGAUCGGGCACACUGGGACUGAGACACGGCCCAGACUCCUACGGGAGGGAGCAGUAGGGAAUCUUCGGCAAUGGACGGAAGUCUGACCGAGCAACGCCGCGGGAGGGAAGAAGGUUUUCGGAUCGUAAAGCUCUGUUGUAAGAGAAGAACGAGUGUGAGAGUGGAAAGUUCACACUGUGACGGUAUCUUACCAGAAAGGGACGGCUAACUACGUG